rnacentral:rRNA from 1 species
CCUACGGGGGGCAGCAGUGGGGAAUAUUGGACAAUGGGCGAAAGCCUGAUCCAGCCAUGCCGCGUGUGUGAAGAAGGCCUUCGGGUUGUAAAGCACUUUCAGUGGGGAAGAAAGCCUUGGGGCUAAUACCCUCGAGGAAGGACAUCACCCACAGAAGAAGCACCGGCUAACUCCGUGCCAGCAGCCGCGGUAAUACGGAGGGUGCGAGCGUUAAUCGGAAUUACUGGGCGUAAAGCGCGCGUAGGCGGUCUGAUAAGCCGGUUGUGAAAGCCCCGGGCUCAACCUGGGAACGGCAUCCGGAACUGUCAGGCUAGAGUGCAGGAGAGGAAGGUAGAAUUCCCGGUGUAGCGGUGAAAUGCGUAGAGAUCGGGAGGAAUACCAGUGGCGAAGGCGGCCUUCUGGACUGACACUGACGCUGAGGUGCGAAAGCGUUGGUAGCAAACAGGAUUAGAUACCCUAGUAGUC